rnacentral:rRNA from 1 species
UACGAAGGGGGCUAGCGUUGCUCGGAAUCACUGGGCGUAAAGGGUGCGUAGGCGGGUCUUUAAGUCAGGGGUGAAAUCCUGGAGCUCAACUCCAGAAACUGCCUUUGAUACUGAGGAUCUUGAGUUCGGGAGAGGUGAGUGGAACUGCGAGUGUAGAGGUGAAAUUCGUAGAUAUUGGGAAGAACACCAGUGGCGAAGGCGGCUCACUGGCCCGUAACUGACGCUGAGGUGCGAAAGCGUGGGAGCAAACAGG